rnacentral:lncRNA from 1 species
GCCAACCCCUAGCAUACUUCAAACUGCCAUUUUUCAAGAGGUUUGGUCCAUCUCUCAGAGGAACUGGCUGGUACAAGAUUGUCUGGCAAGGUGUCGAAGGAGCUGGCCAGUUAGGCAC